CUUUGUCGACGGUCGGACACUUUUGUCUCGUGGUGCACGGCGUGUGAGCAGUGUGAGCGUCAGGAUGUUCGCGUUAGUGCGAUUCUUGAACAGUUUUGAUAAGAAAGAGUAUAUAAUACCUGCCAAUAACAUUAAGGACUUUUACCCAGAAAGCAAGGAGGACUUCAUUAAAAGUAAAGUCUACAGGACAGAGUGGGUUGAUCAUGAAGACCCGGAAAACACAGGAUCGUACACGUGUAGAAUUCUGCUGCUGGCAGACUCGGAACAAGAGCUACAUAAACAAAGGGGCAGCAAGCGCCUUCCACGGCCUCUGAUACACCAGUCAGAUAUUGACCAAGAGGAAGAGCUCAUUGACCUGCAGCUGUCAGCAGUAAACACCAAGCAGACUGCAAAACAGGCACACAAAAAAAUGAAACAGGAUCAGGCUGCAUCAAGAAGUGCUGUUUAUGAGGAAAUUUUGAGCAAGCAUGCCUCUCGUGCCCUUGAAAAAAAUAAAGCCGCCCGAGCUUUGCAAGUAGGCAUUAAAAUGUACACUUCUCAGUUUUAUUCAGCACUUUUCAACUCCUUACUCUCUUUUCUUGUGCACAGACACCCUCAAACAGGCGUGUGGAGUUCAAUGAAGACACCACGAACAAAGAACGCAAGCACAAGCAAAUGAGGAAAGAGACUUGACAGGAACCUUAUGAGAGUGUGCUGAAAGAGCGCAAUGAAUUUCGACAAGCGGUUGCCAAAAUCAACGAAAGAAUUGAUCGAAUAGACGUGAAGCUUUCAGUGAUUGUAGAAAUGCUACUGGCGAGAAGUGCCCCUCAGCCUCAAAAGGCACAAAAAAGUGCCCCGCUUCUCGAGCAAGCACAACAGUCCCCUACAGAUCUGUGGGAGGAUGGCCAAGACCUUAAUGGUUUGGAUUACGAAGUUGAACCGUCACACACAGCCCCCACACCACCACCAGCAGCACACAUGGACACUACAUCCAAGCCUGCUGCAGACGCACUCCCCACACGUAGAAGCCCAAACGCUUUAAAUGCCAUUAUGUUGCUAUUAUUUUGCUGUAAACAUCAACUUCACUCCUUAUUUCUCAUCAGCUGCAGACCCAAAAGCCCACACUCCUUUUACUGACAUUGGUGAUGGCAAGUAUCACGUGAAAGACGGCCUCAUGAUUGGAAGCAAGCAGGCGGAAAAAAUCCUGGGCCAUAAAAAACCUCCACUCGUUGUAAAGGAUAUGGCCCAAGCCAUAUGAGGUCGCGAAGGAUUGGCGGAGCGAAGUUAUGGAGGCAAAUUAGCCCCCAAGGACUACAAGAACCCCAACGCAGUCGUGCGGAAGCAACUGAGUCUACACAAGGUUGCUUUGAUUAUUGACACCGUGACACAUUGGGGGUCGAGGAGCGGAGUCCCAGUUAAGGAAACGCUGGACAAUUUGUCUACCAUUUUUUAAAAAAAAUUCAAGACGUCAAGAGGACAAAGAGAAAGGAAGAUUGAAUGCUUCCAAAAUCUUUUCUUUUGACUUCACAUUAUUUCCUUUUUUUAAGUGCCAUUCACUUAUCAAUAAAUUAUUGUAA